CAAAGUAUCCGAGACACUGGCGAUUGGGAUUCAUCCUCUUGUGGGGUUCUCUUGGUCUUUUCGUUGAUAGAUGAUCCCAAGUAUCCUUUACAGAUCUUUGAGUCGUUCGUGAUCGUUUGGAGUUGGAGCUUCACAGUCUGGGACCGUGUGUAUUUUGGCUGCAGGUAGAGAGCAAGAUGGGAAUUCUGAAGGGAUCAGUUGUUUGCCACACUGAUGCUGUCUGUGCAAACUAUGUUGGAAGUUCUGCUCCACUUAUUAACAUUCAUUUUGCAAAGGCUAGAAAUUUGCAAAGUGCGUUUUGGGGGUCCUCUUGUAGACUCAGAACCAUAACUAGAACAUAUGGUCGUUUCCUCCAACCAUGCAAAAAGAAAUUGAGGUCAAUUCAAAGUAGUUUCAGCUCCUCUUCGGACGGAAAUGGCAGCAUAGCUGGAAACUUCAGCGAGAACGAUGAGGAAUAUAUUAACUCCAGUGUAAUUGAAGCUGUGGAGGUGAGAAGCAGAUCAGAUGGUCUCAUGAUAAAGAUGCGUGAUGGCCGACAUUUAAGAUGUGUGCAUAAUGACCCUCAAGCUGGAAACUUACUGUACUAUGCUCCUCGCCCUGUUAUCGUAUUAAAAAUGGAAGAUGGAAGUGAUAUUUUGCUUCCUAUCCUUGUCUUGGAGAUGCCAUGUACUAUGCUAAUGGCUGCUAUCAACAAUGUUCAGCUUGUUAGACCAACUGUUUAUGAAGUAGUCAAAGAGAUGAUUGAGAAGAUGGGAUAUGCUGUACAACUUGUUAGAGUCACUAAGCGAGUGAAUGAAGCUUACUUCUCUCAACUAUACCUGACAAAGAUUGGAAAUGGAAAAGAUACUAUUAGCUUUGAUCUCCGGCCUUCAGAUGCCAUUAAUAUAGCUGCUCGAUGCAAAGUGCCCAUACAAGUGAACAGACAUCUUGUAUACAGCAACGGAAUGAGAAUAGUUGAGCCGACCAAGUCAGCAGCAUCAACUGUUCAAUCAGACAUUGUUCUAUUCACAGAACUUGAUAGGUAACUUCUUUUAAAUGUUUUUGUAAUAGACUAUGGAGAUAUGUCUAACAAAUAUAUUCGAAGAGGUCCUUGCUUGUUUCUGCUUCGAUGAUGCAUUUUCUUGAAACAGUGUUUUGCAUCUCGGAAAAACAAAAAAAACCUUCUGCCUGGUCUCUCAUAAAACCUUCCGUAUAGGGUGCACAUCACAAGAUGAGAAAGUUAUCAGGAGGGGAUCCUGUGGAUUGGCAAACCUCAGGUUUAUGGACUGGUGGACUGGCACAGUGUGUGCCCAAUUAAAAUACCAUGUGCAGUAUGGCACACACCUGUGCCCACUGCUGAUACUCCUCCAAUGGGUUACAUGCUGACUGCUUGGGUGGCGUGGCUUGUAUAGAUUAUCCAUCCAUCAUAUCACAUUGUAGCAUAGAGAGCAUUGCUUGUUUCACCUAUUCCUCAUAAGUUGGACCACUAACAUAUGUGAUAGGUUGUUUGGUUUGUCAUGACCACACCGGUACGCUGGAGUUCCACUACUACUUCUCUGAGUGUGGUUUUCUAUAGCAUGGACUCUGUAGUUUGUAUCAUCGAAACUGACAAUUGGCAUGCUCAGUGCACUUGAUUCAUAUU